GAGUUGUCCUCACUGGAUUGGGACUGUUCUUCUGGAAUGGGUUGAUUUCUCCUCCUCGGCCGGGGAGCAUUAGCUCGAUCCCUCCCAGCUAUAUGAGCCAGCUGCUCAGUUACAGUAGCCAGUGCGGCUUGGAGUUCAGCAUGGUUAGCCAUCAGUUGAGCAUUGAUCUCGGCUUGUGUUGGUGCUCCAUUUAGAUCUCCCAUGUCGCCUGUGACAAAAGAGGAAGAAAGAAAAGUGAUCUGCAAGGGAUCAAAGAAAAAGGAGGAAGAUACCUAAAUAGAUAUGCAAUUGAAUGUUAAACUUCCUUUUUUUUUUUUUUUUAUAAGUUUUCGAAAAUUAAAAUAUGGAAAGUAUAAACUUCCUUUUUUUUUUUUUUUUUUAAAUUUUGGAAAAACUUGGAGUGCAAUCCAAGGAAAAAUUAAAUGCAAUUAAAUGGAAAUCCGCAAAAAGGAAAGUAAGAAAAAUCGAUGGAUCAAGAUAUGCCAAAAGGAAAAAUAUGGUUUUGAACUCGCCAAGA
rnacentral:lncRNA from 1 species